rnacentral:lncRNA from 1 species
AUGCUGCCGGGAGGGGAAGGAAAGAGAGGGGGGGGGAAAGAAAAAAAAAAAAUCGGGCCCGAGUCCCGCCGGCUGCCUCCCGCCUUAACCCCGCGGAGCCGCCCGCACCGCCCCGAGCCGCAGCGCUCAGCCCCGCUCCGCUGCCCGGCGCCGGCGGUGCGCGGCCGAAAGGUCACGGCGGGGCCCGCGCUGCGCCGUCACGGCCGCCCGAGCUCCGGCUCUCCCCGCCCGCCCGCCCGCGAGCCGCGCCGCCCGCCCUCCGCCUCUCCCCCUCCGGGCGCGCCCGGCCCGCGGCGCUGCUCCCCCCCGCCCCUCACCCGGCGCCGGGACCCCGCGGGUCGGAGCGGAGCGCAGCGCCGCGGGCGGGGCCGGGCCGGCCGCCAGCCGCUCGCACCGGGGCUCCCCGGCCGGGCCCCCGGCCCCGCCUCCCGGCCCUGCCCGCCGCCGGCGCUCGCUGUCACCCCCCGGCCGGCCCCUCUGUCCCCCGCUGCCGCUUCCACUCCGCGCUCCCCCCCCGCCCGGCCCGGGGAAGCCGUCCUCCCGCCGUCCGGCCCCGCGGCUCCUCCUCUCGCCGUGCCGCCGGCGCGGGAAGGGAGCGAGGGAGGCCUCCCCGGCCCGGCCCGGCCCUCGGCGCGGCGGCGGCGGGAACGGAGGCCCCGGCCCCGUCCUCCCGCCGCCCCGGCGCUGCCCCUCCCGCCGCUCUACCCGGGCUUUACCUGCCGUGGCGGCGCGGCGCGGGACCCCGGGGCCUCUGGCAGCCGGAGGAGGCGGCGGACUCCGUCCCGCUGCGGCCGUCCCCGAGUGAGGCGGGCGGGACGGAGCCGGGACCUGCCCCGGGAGGCGUUACGUAAACCGGCGGCGGCGGCGGCUCCCAGCGCCACGGGGAGGGAGGGGAGAAGGGAGGGGAAGGGGGGAGGCGGCCGUUCCGUCGCCCGGCAACAGGACUCAGCGCCCCGGCGGACCGCGCCGCAGGCCCCGCCCCGUAUCCUUCCGCCCAGAGGGCGGCCCGGAUCCCGCCGCCCGAGCGCGGGGCUGAGAGGAGCGGCGGGCGGGACGCGAGUGGAGCGGGCGGCCCGUCCGGCUGCAUGGCGAGCGGGAAGGGCGGGGCGGGAGGGAAGCGCCCCUUUGGCCCGGCUGCGCGCCACGGCCCCGCCCGCCGGGGGAGAGCCGGGCGCCUGA